CACAGAGAUGGUCCUGACCCCAGAUCCAUAAAUAAGUCACCCUCUAUCCAGCUUGUCUGUGUCUGUGCCAUCUCGAGCACAAACACAGGGAGGCUGUCAGCCCGAGCACGGCAGCAGAUCUUCACUGUCACAAAGAAGCACAGAAGGAAAAGCAGUCUGUGAGAUAGAGAAGGACACAUAUCAUGCCUUUACUUUACUUUGUGUAAUGGCUGGGGAAAAAAAAAAGGAAAAAAGGCAAGCAGGUGAAAUGUUUUAAAUGAAGCCUAGAACUGUAAGGAAAUAUACUCAUAUGUAUCAUUUUCUGAUCACCAUUAUGUCAGCUGGGUGAAAGACUUCAGAGUGGUUUACUUCUAAAGAAUCACUUGCCUGGAUUUCAGCAACUGCCUUUGGGAAGAGCCUGGAACAACGCAUCUGCUGAAACCCCUGUGUAAUCAAAGGGAGGCAUCUUUUCAAGCAGACAUUGGUUUGGUGCAAUGCCUGGAACAAAACAAGAGCAAACAAAACCCGGCAGCGCUGAAUGCUGCAUCCUUGCUGCAUGGUAGAAGUAAGUUGAUGAGUUUGCUGAGAGUCUCAGCGUUCAGCCUUGCAACACAUCUCUAAUAUGAGGAGUGAUCAGCUUGCUUUCGUAGCCACGUAGGUGAGUUGUGGUGUUUCGCUCGGUGCUCUGUGUUAUAGUCUCACAAUUAUAUAUUUCUGCAAAUUACCACCAGAAAGUUAUCUUCAAGAGAGCAAAGAGCACCGCUA
rnacentral:lncRNA from 1 species